UCAAACAUCAUGCUGCAUUUAAUACUGAAAAUUAAAUCUAAUAAUAACAGACCAACACAGUAUCAGACUCGGGCUCCAUUGGCAACCUUAAUCAAUUAUACAUCUAUAAAGUCACACAGUACAGUUUAAUUAUUUAUUUAGCUUUAAUACCGUGAUAGGAAAUAGGGUGAGGGGUCCUUACUUGUUUUGGGGUCUGAAUACGGCUCUACAGUGCGCCUACAGGCUGUCCUUAAUUUUCCCUAAAUUUUUCCCAGAAAACUGAAACGCACUACUCGUACCUGCACGUGCCCCAAAAAAUUCCAAAUUAGAC
rnacentral:lncRNA from 1 species